rnacentral:sRNA from 1 species
AAUUAAUUAGUUUCUGAAAAAAAAAUCAAAAACAGAAAAAAAACAAAAA